rnacentral:rRNA from 1 species
AGUGAACGCUGGCGGUAGGCCUAACACAUGCAAGUCGAACGGCAGCACAGUAAGAGCUUGCUCUUACGGGUGGCGAGUGGCGGACGGGUGAGGAAUACAUCGGAAUCUACUUUUUCGUGGGGGAUAACGUAGGGAAACUUACGCUAAUACCGCAUACGACCUACGGGUGAAAGCAGGGGAUCUUCGGACCUUGCACGAUUGAAUGAGCCGAUGUCGGAUUAGCUAGUUGGCGGGGUAAAGGCCCACCAAGGCGACGAUCCGUAGCUGGUCUGAGAGGAUGAGCGACACGAGUGGAGGAGGGCCGUGCCGCAGCCUCGGAGGGAGGGGAGCAGGUGAGAGUAUGGGACAGUGGAGCGAAGCCUGGCAGGGCGCCACCGCGUGGGUGAAGAAGUCCUUUGGGUUGUAAAGAUGUUUUGUGGAAAAAGAACCGCAGCAUGUUAAUCCCCGGAUGUUCUGCCGGUAACAAAAGAAUAAGUACCGGCUAACUGCGCGCAAGCAGCCGCGGUAAGAAGCGGAGUAGCACCGUGCUGAGC